UACGGAGGGGGCAAUCGUUGUUCGGAAUUACUGGGCGUAAAGAGCGCGUAGGCGGCGGGACCAGUCAGGCGUGAAAGCCCCGGGCUCAACCUGGGAGGUGCGCUUGAUACAGUUCUGCUGGAGUCCGGGAGGGGAUGGCGGAAUUCCCAGUGUAGAGGUGAAAUUCGUAGAUAUUGGGAAGAACACCGGUGGCGAAGGCGGCCAUCUGGACCGGCACUGACGCUGAGGCGCGAAAGCGUGGGGAGCAAACAGG
rnacentral:rRNA from 1 species